rnacentral:hammerhead_ribozyme from 17 species
CAAGCGUCUGGGGUUAAGGAGUCGCUGCCCAUCAAAUUCCACUGAUGAGUCUAGGAGGCGCAAUGACUACGAGACGAAACGCAUU